GAUGAACGCUGGCGGCGUGCCUAAUACAUGCAAGUCGAGCGAACAGACGAGGAGCUUACUCCUCUGACGUUAGCGGCGGACGGGUGAGUAACACGUGGAUAACCUACCUAUAAGACUGGGAUAACUUCGGGAAACCGGAGCUAAUACCGGAUAAUAUAUUGAACCGCAUGGUUCAAUAGUGAAAGACGGUUUUGCUGUCACUUAUAGAUGGAUCCGCGCCGCAUUAGCUAGUUGGUAAGGUAACGGCUUACCAAGGCAACGAUGCGUAGCCGACCUGAGAGGGUGAUCGGCCACACUGGAACUGAGACACGGUCCAGACUCCUACGGGAGGCAGCAGUAGGGAAUCUUCCGCAAUGGGCGAAAGCCUGACGGAGCAACGCCGCGUGAGUGAUGAAGGUCUUCGGAUCGUAAAACUCUGUUAUUAGGGAAGAACAAAUGUGUAAGUAACUAUGCACGUCUUGACGGUACCUAAUCAGAAAGCCACGGCUAACUACGUG
rnacentral:rRNA from 1 species